AGGAAUAUUGGUCAAUGGGCGGAAGCCUGAACCAGCCAUGCCGCGUGCAGGAAGACGGCCCUACGGGUUGUAAACUGCUUUUGCAGGGGAAUAAACCCCGAUAUGUAUAUCGGGCUGAAUGUACCUUGAGAAUAAGGAUCGGCUAACUCCGUGCCAGCAGCCGCGGUAAUACGGAGGAUCCGAGCGUUAUCCGGAUUUAUUGGGUUUAAAGGGUGCGUAGGUGGCCUGUUAAGUCAGGGGUGAAAGACGGUAGCUCAACUAUCGCAGUGCCUUUGAUACUGACGGGCUUGAAUGAACUAGAGGUAGGCGGAAUGUGACAAGUAGCGGUGAAAUGCAUAGAUAUGUCACAGAACACCAAUUGCGAAGGCAGCUUACUAUGGUUUUAUUGACACUGAGGCACGAAAGCGUGGGGAUCAAAC
rnacentral:rRNA from 1 species